UCAUAACUCAUCCAUAUUUCGAGAUCUAAGAAGGAAUCAAGGGGAUUUUUACACAAAAAUUAUCAUCUAAGGUAAGAAAUCUCUUAGAUCCUUAAACUAGGUACUUCAUUUCAUCCAAAAAUCACCUCUUAAUUCAUUCAAACUCACGAUCUAGCACCUAAGAAGCAUUCAAGUUGAAAUCUUNAUCUUCCAAGGAAGGUUGCUAAGGCCGAAUUUCUUCUCAUUUUCUUCCAAAAACCGAAACCACACCCAAAGGUGAGCUUCAUACCCCCUCUUUUUCGGUUUUUAUAAGUUUUGUGGGGGAGAAUACAAGAAAAUGUUUAGAUCUAUGAGUAUAUGUAUGCCUUGUGUGAUUUUUAUGCUUAUAUAUAUGGUCUUAUGUGAUUGUGAUGUUUAUACUUGCCAAAACAACCUAAAAACCGAGAUCUACAAUAUCAUGAAUGAAAUAAGUAUAACUUAUACGAUUUCACACUAAUCAAGUCUAGAAAAAUAACCAAGUUGGUUAAUAUGAACAUUUUUGGACUUAAAACCCAUUUUUGGGCUCAAAAUGCUAAAAUACAAAACUAAGGGGCCCAAAACGACAAAAUAUAGAUUCUGAAGGUUGAGAUGAGACUAAACAGUUUCUACUAUGUAUUUUUUGAAUAUUAACACUUUUGAAGGGUUAAAAAUGUGAAAUUUAAACAUAAUGGGCCAAAAUGGGCUUUUCGGCCUAAUAAAGCCCCAAAUUGCGAAAUUUUGAGUUGGAGGGGUUGAAACUGCACAUUUCUGUAAAACAGGGGAUUACUAGCGUACCAAAUCUAUUUCAAGGGUCAAAAAUGCUUUUCCAAUUAAAAAGGGACCAAAGAUGCAAAAAUUUUCCAUUUUGGGUCAAAAUUGUAAAAGUUGCGAAAAUGGAGGUUUCAACCGAAAAAAUUUCAUUUUUGAAGGACUUAAGCUGUUUAUCAAGUAAAUUUGUGCUAAAAAUGUCUUUCCAAUAAGUUUUGAUACUAAAGUGUCAAGAAAAAUAGUUUAAGGACUAAACCGGAAAUUCUUUUAUACUCAAAGGGUUAAAAGUGUAAAUUUUAUCCGAGGAAGGGCUUAAGAAGAUAAACUCACAUUCUUAAAACAAUGGAUCCCUUAAAAUAAAAAUAGUAGUACUACGUCUACCGGCGAAACGUAAUAGUAAAUACACCUUCAACACCAAAAUUGUUACCAAACAAAUUGAUUCGGUCUCGAAUCAAUAACGAAUCAAAAAUCAAUAAACAAUGACACUUCAAUACACACGCGGAAGUUUACGAGAAGUCAAUACACCAUCUUUGGGCUCGAAAGUUUCAAAUCGUGUUUGUUGGGCCUAGCUAGCCCAAUGACAUGAUCUUUAGGCCCGAAGGGAACGCGCUUACAUGUUAUUGGGCCUUAUAUGACCUAAUUCCGUGUAAAAGGACUUUCAAUAGCUUUAUUGUGCUGUUGGGCCCCAAGGGUCCUUUGGUACUGCUAGCAAAGUCGAGAAGUCAAAUGCGAGUCGGGCCAAGUGCCUUUCGCAUUCACGAUAGCCUUGAACGACUCAUGGAAAUAACGGGGGCUUCGCACCCUCUUUUCUCCUCGGUUGUGGGGCUAUGAGAAGUCAGGGUGGUUGGAUUAAGUGAGUAGUACGGACGACGCCUAAGGGAUCGUUUGUAUAGUUGUAAACUAGUCAUUUCAUUAAUGCGUGAUUAUAACGACUCACAACCCAUAAUGAAUCCAAUGUCACCUGGAAUUAUAGAAAACAACGUUUUAUCGGAAUAAUACUAACUAAGCCACGUAAUUUGAUGUAUUGGGAAAACAUCGGGUUUUCCCAUGGAAAUUCAACACUCUUGAUAAUGUGAUAUACAUACAAAGUCUAACAAUUAUUCACGUUUAUAAUAAUCAACAAGCAUACUUACGGAUCUUCACACUUUUUCUCAUAUACAACAUUUUUUUUAGAAAAUAUCGGAUUUUCUGAGGUUUUCAAAACUAUACAAAUCAUUUCUUUUCAAACCUUACUUAUGAACUCACCAACAUUUCAUAUGUUGACGUUUUCCAAAAUACUUGUAUUCUCAGGUAACAGGUAAAUCGAAGAAAAAUGUGUCCAGUUAUGUCAUGAUGUUUGUUUAAAUAACAUCGAAUGGUUUAUGUUUUGGAAUUGUAAUGUUUUGAAACAAUGUAGUGAAUGUAAACAAUACCGGUUGUAAUAUUUCAAUGCAUGGUGAUGAAUGAUGUUAUGAUUCAUGUAUAUUCAUUGUGAUGGUAUUCAAUUGAGUCACAAUAGCCCUCGGACGUUUCCGCCGUCUGGUUCGGGGGUGUGACAGGUUGGUAUCAGAGCUCUGUUUAUAGUGAACUAGCAUAUCUAGCCACACAUAUAUGCAACUAUAAACCCAAAGAGGGACUAACACAACUCUGAACAAAACAAGUAAAACAUAACAAUAAAACACCCUUGCUUGUACUAGGAACGAGAACCUAACACCAAAUCAAACAAGAUAAUGCUAGUAUCUCGGUUAAUCUAGGAUUGUUCUUAGUUGUAUCAAGGAACGGAUGUAGCCUGGUCAACUACAUUCCUACCAAGGUAUCACUACCACACGUCCUGAGGAGAUCGUGAUAGCUAGGGAACCUAAAAACAUACCCCUUUAUCACCAAAAAGAGAACAUCUGUUUAGUCUAUACCAUAGUUGUAGAGUCAUAGGAGUAACGAUAGUUUAUACCUUCCCCCAGUCUUCAUGAAGGGAGAGCAGCAGGGUAUCCAGUUUCAUCAAGUCCUAGUGGCUCACGGAAUUCUUGAAGAUGAACCAGAAGGGAAUCAAGAGGGAGCACACGACGUCAGACCUGACGAAUACACAGACACCGACUACGAGUUCGAGGAGACCGAUGAUGACAUAGAGGAAGGACAAGACCCGGGAAAAGAUCACGCCACAUCGUUUGUUAGCGAGGCGCAGCAGGACCACCCCGCCCCACCAGUGAACCCCCCAAGGGAGAACCACUCUCCCGAAGUUGAGAUCGCCGCCCUGCGGCAAUAGCUGUACGCCAUGGAAGCACGUGCAGUGCAAGCUGACCAUGAGAGGGAUGAGGUUAUUGGAGACAUGACUGGGAUGGAUCAGUUGCUAGCUCAACACUUCGACAUAUGACCCCGCCACUAUAUAGGAUGCACAACGGAGUGUUAGGGAUAGGCUUAUCUGACGAGGCCAUUAGGAUCUAUGCUAUGUACCCCGACUGUAUGUUUAAGUGACUACACUACUAAUAGAGCCGUUAUGCUGUCGAACUAAUAUCACUUAUGUAUGCUCUUUCAAGCAAAAUUUUCAUGUAUCAAACGAGGAUAAUAUUAGUAAACUUUUACGUGUUUUAUUAUGACGUUACAAAUUGCAAUGUGUUGCGAAUCCACGAUUGUAUACUAAUUUGUAGAAGUACUUAAGUUCAUACCAUGCACCUAGUCAGUAGGAUCACAACCUCAUAGAAACCACAUGCACUCAACAUCUUUCCGUUUCGUGAGAGAAAGAUGCCUCGCCGACCUACUCGCGGAAACCCUGGACCAACCCCACCCGAAGUUGACUCCACUGCAUUCCAGGCAGCCGUAUCUGCUGUGGUCACCACAUCUAUGGCACAAAUUCACCAAGGGAACAACGGAGGAGGCAACGGGCAAGGGGCCGGGAGUUCGAACAAUGGAAUGAAUCAAGGACCCACCAAAACCUGUACCUACAAGGACUUCACAAACACCAAACCACGAACCUUUAACGGCACCGGAGGAGUGAUCACCCUGAAACGAUGGAUUGAGAAGGUGGAAUCGGUGUUCGAGAUAUGCGAUUGCCCUGAAGAGAUGAAAGUAAAGUUUGCUGCAUGCACUUUGGUCGACCAAGCGCUCACUUGGUGGAACGGGCACGUGGAAGCCAUGACACUCCCCGUAGCCAAUUCCAUGCCAUGGAGAGAAAUGAAGGAAAUGCUGAUGGCCGAAUAUUGCCCUCGUGGUGAGAUUCAGAAAAUGGAGAAGAGCUGUGGAACCUCACUGUACGGAAUGAUGAUAUCGAUGCCUACAUAUCAAGAUUUAGUGAACUAUCUCUGUUAUGUCCGGGCAUGAUCACCUCGGAAGGAAAGAAGAUCUAGCGAUUCAUCUGGGGACUAACCUCUCCGAUCCAAGGAAACGUGAUAGCUGCAAAUCCUGAAACUUUCGACAGUGCUAAGAGAUUGGCGAAGAAGCUGUAUGACCACAACAACAAGAAGGGUGAGAAGCCAGCGGAGGCUGAAGGCAAGAAGGAAGGUGAUGGCAAGAAGGGGAAGAACAACAAGAGGAAGGGGCGUCAAGGCCCCGAGACUUCUAAGAAGCAGCAGACAGUGGCAGUUAAUGCUGCCACCGCACAAGUUCCGGCCACACCACAUGCUCCAGCCUCAGCUGCUUCGAAUGCUCCUAGACCUUAUUCCGGUAAUCUUCCCAAGUGCAACAAGUGCGGUUUCCAUCACAAUGGAGAGUGCAAGGAGCUGCAGUGCACCAGUUGCAAUCGGAAGGGGCACACGGCAAGGUAUUGCAGGACUUACCCUCCUCAGAAUCAACAACAGGGAAACANNNNNNNNNNNNNNNNNNNNNNNNNNNNCAACAAUGCAGGGCCUAGCCACACCUGCUAUGGGUGUGGGAGGACCGGGCAUUUCCACCGAGAUUGCCCUAACAACAACAAUCCCGUAAAUGGAGGAACAGGAAGGGUGCUGACCAUGGGUCAGGGGGAGGCGAUUCAGGAUCCCGAUGUUGUUACCGGUACGUUUCCCCUAAACCACACUUAUGCAUGCAUCCUAUUUGACACCGGAGCCGAGCGAAGUUUUGUGAGCAAUAAGUUUAAACAUUUAUUAAAACAACAACCCUAGAAGCUCAAUGAAACCUUUACGGUGGAAAUGGCCAAUGGGAAAACCGAAUCCACUGGGGAAAUCUACACCGGAUGUACCCUAACCUUAAAUCAACAUGUCUUUCGAAAAGACUUAAUGCAUGUUUCCAUUAGGAGUUUUGAUGUGAUUAUUGGCAUGGACUGGUUAAGCCCCCACCAUGCUGAAAUUAUGUGUCACGAGAAGGCCGUUCGCCUUCACCUUCCCAAUCAUGAAACCCUUAGUUAUUUACGGAGACAAACCUAGCACGAGCCUUCGCCUUAUCUCGUGAAUCCAGGCACAGAAGCAUCUACGAAAGAACGAUUUGACGUUUCUGGCUCACAUAGUGGAUAAAACCAAGGAAGGUUAACAUUCAAGACAUUCCCGUAGCACGUGAAUUCCCAGACGUAUUUCCUGAAGAUCUUCCUGGAAUACCCCUAGAGAGACAAGUUGAGUUCCAAAUUGACCUCGUUCCAGGAGCAACUCCUCUCGCUAAAUCGCCCUACUGGCUAGCUUCUGCUGAAAUGCAGGAAUUGUCCAGCCAACUCAGUGAACUCUUGGGCAAGGGAUUCAUCCGACCUAGUUACUCGCCAUGGGGAGCUCCAGUCCUCUUUGUCAAAGAGAAGGACAGAUCUUUUAGAAUGUGCACCGAUUACAGGGAGUUAAAUAAACUCACUGUCAAAAAUCGCUAUCCACUCCCACGAAUCGACGAUCUAUUUGACCAGCUCCAAGGAGCUAGUUACUUCUCUAAGAUAGAUCUACGAUCCGGAUACCAUCAACUCAAAGUCCGGGAAGAGGAUAUUCCUAAACCCGCUUUCCGAACUCGUUACGGACAUUAUGAAUUUGUCGUAAUGCCCUUCGAUCUAAAGAAUGCUCCUGCCGCAUUUAUGGAUCUGAUGAACUGAAUAUGUCGACCAUUCCUCAACAACUUUGUCAUCGUCUUCAUUGACGACAUUCUCGUUUAUUCCCGAAGCGAGGAAGAGCAUGGCCAACAUCUCCGACAAAUCCUAGAAACUCUGCGAUCGGAAAAGUUAUACGCAAAACUCUCCAAGUGUGAGUUCUGGCUCCGUAGUGUGAACUUCCUAGGUUAUGUUGUUAGCCAAGAUGGAAUUCAUGUGGAUCCCUCUAAGGUCAAAGCUGUUGAAGGAUGGACAGUCCCGACAACACCCACGAAAAUCCGUCAAUUCUUGGGUCUAGCAGGCUACUAUAGGAGAUUCAUUCAAGACUUCUCUAGGAUCGCCAAGCCACUUACCUCGCUUACACAAAAGGGCGUACCAUUCAAAUGGACGGAAAAACAAGAAGUUGCAUUCCGAACCCUGAAGCAGAUGCUCUGCAGCGCCCCGGUACUAUCUUUACCAGAGGGAACGGAAGAUUUCAUGGUCUACUGUGACGCGUCAAAUCAGGGUGUAGGCUGCGUUCUCAUGCAGUGUGGAAGAGUGAUAGCUUACGCAUCCCGCCAACUAAAAACGCACGAAGUGAAUUAUACGACCCAUGACCUAGAAUUGGGAGCCGUGGUCUUUGCUCUGAAGAUUUGGAGGCAUUACCUUUAUGGUACAAAGUGCACCAUCUUCACAGACCACAAGAGUCUCCAGCACAUCUUGAAUCAGAAAGAGCUGAAUAUGAGGCAACGAAGAUGGGUGGAGUUAUUAAAUGAUUACGAGUGUGAAAUCAAGUAUCACCCAGGCAAGGCCAAUGUAGUAGCUGAUGCAUUGAGCUGGAAAGAGUACUCUAAUCGUCGUGAAAAAAACUCUCUCGAUAACCAUCCAAUGUCACCUAACCACUCAGAUCAGGGUAGCCCAGUCAGAUGCCAUGAAGACGGAAAACAGAGCAAGCGAAGCAUUACGCGGAAUGGAAAAGAACCUAGAGGUGAGAGAGGACGGAGUAUACCAUUUCAUGAACCGUAUUUGGGUCCCUAAACUCGGCGAAUUUAGGGAGGUAGUCAUGAAGGAAGCCCACAAGACGCGAUACUCCAUCCAUCCCGGCUCGGACAAGAUGUAUUUGGAUAUUAAACAACACUAUUGGUGGACUAACAUGAAGGCAGAAAUUGCCACCUAUGUCGGUAAGUGUCUUACUUGUGCCAAGGUAAAGGUGGAGUACCAGAAGCCCUCGAGAUUAUUACAGCAACCAGUGAUUCCCGAGUGGAAGUGGGAAGGGAUUUCUAUGGAUUUUGUGACCAAGCUACCUAAGACGUCGGAUGGAUUAGACACUAUAUGGGUAAUAGUUGACUGACUGACGAAAUCCGCCCAUUUCCUGCCAAUAAAAGAAUCAUACAAGAUGGAGAGACUGACGCAUUUAUACAUUCGAGAAAUCGUGAGACUUCAUGGAAUACCAGUGUUUAUCAUCUCAGAUAGAGACAGUAGAUUCACUUCACGUUUUUGGCAAUCACUUCAGAAAGCACUCGGGACCCAUCUCGACAUGAGCACCGCUUAUCACCCACAAACGGACGGUCAAAGCGAAAGAACCAUUCAGACGCUCGAAGGCAUGCUUGACGCAUGUGUGAUAGACUUUGGGAAGUCUUGGGACAUCCACUUACCCUUAGUUGAAUUUUCUUAUAACAACAGUUACCAUUCGAGCAUCAAAGUCGCUCCUUUCGAAGCACUAUAUGGACGUAAGUGUAGAUCACCGUUGUGUUGGGUUGAGGUGGGUGACACCCAGCUAGCAAAGACACUAGCAUCUGACAAGGCGCUAACGGGACCGAAGAUCAUUCGUGAAACCACGGAAAAGAUAGUUCAAAUCAGAGCUAGAUUACAAGCAUCGCGCGACCGACAAAAGAGCUACGCUGAUAAACGGGGAAAGCCCUUAGAGUUUCAGGUCGGGGAUCAAGUGGUGUUAAAAGUCUCACCUUGGAAAGGAGUCAUUCGUUUCGGAAAACGGGGAAAACUGAACCCACGAUACAUUAGACCUUUCGAGAUCGUACAAACUGCAGCUACCCGCGGAGCUAAACAGUGUACACCCCGUGUUCCAUGUCUCCAAUCUAAAGAAGUGCCUAUCAGAUGAAACGAUCGUCAUUCCCCUUGACGAGAUUGAAAUCAACGAGAAUCUCCUGUUCGUUGAAGAACCGGUUGAAAUCAUGGACAGGGAGGUGAAGCUUACUAAGCAAAGCCGCAUCCCGAUCGUGAAAGUACGGUGGAACGUGAAGCGUGGGCCAGAAUUCACGUGGGAACGCAAAGACCAAAUGAAACAAAAGUACCCUCACCUAUUCUAUCAUUCUCAAAUCUAGCUUUCAAAAGAAUUUCGGGAUGAAAUUCCCUCUAACGGGGGGAUGAUGUCACAAUUAGGAAUUUUUGUGCCUUGUAACCAACACUUAAACCAAUUUAUGAAUCAAAAACAUAAGAGCAUGAAUGAUGCAUACUCUAUGUCAGCAAAAUUUCAAUCAAACACCCAUGCAAGCAAUUCAAAUAGUCAUUAAGCAAUUGGAAACCCUAGAAGUUCUUGUUUAAGUCCAUUUUGGACUAGGACUUCCUUAUUGGGCCCAAUGGACCAAUAAGCUUCCAAUUUGGCUAUCUUGGGCUUAGAACUCUUAAAUGGAUUCUAAUUGGACCCACUUCCAUUUAAUUCAAUAUUUUGGGCCAUAUUGGGCCUAGAAUGAGAUAGAUUAAUUAUAUGAACCAUUUUGGACCAUAAUUAACCUAAUCUAACCUAAUGGGUCAUAAAAAAAAUCAUUUUUAGGCCAAAAAUCAUCCAACCUAGCUAUAACAUGGGCUUAAGGGAAAAAAGCUCAAAAACCUCCUGUCACCCUCCCCAAGCCCAAAAGAAGAGGAGAGUUGACUUUGUGAGUGACACCUCACAAUUGUUCAAGGGACAUCCAUGCAUGAAGACUCAAACAUCCAUGCACUCACAUACUUCCAAGUCUAGCUACUCUUUUUCUCCCUUUCUCUCUUGCUCUCGGCUGAGUUCAAGCACACACACACACACAUUUCACUCACUUUUCUCUCAAGGAAACUCUCUCAUAACUCAUCCAUACUUCGAGAUCUAAGAAGGAAUCAAGGGGAUUUUUAUACAAAAAUCAUCAUCUAAGGUAAGAAAUCUCUUAGAUCCUUAAACUAGCUACUUCAUUUCAUCCAAAAAUCACCUCUUAAUUCAUUCAAACUCAUGAUCUAGCACCUAAGAAGCAUUCAAGUUCGAAAUCUUCCAAGGAAGGUUGCUAAGACCGAAUUUCUUCUCAUUUUCUUCCAAAAACCGAAACCACACCCAAAGGUGAGCUUCAUACCCCCUCUUUUUCGGUUUUUAUAAGUUUUGUGGGGGAGAAUACAAGCAAAUGUGUAGAUCUAUGAGUAUAUGUAUGCCUUGUGUGAUUUUUAUGCUUAUAUGUAUGGUCUUAUGUGAUUGUGAUGUUUAUACUAGCCAAAAGAACCUAAAAACCGAGAUCUACAAUAUGAUGAAUGAAAUAAGUAUAACUUAUACGAUUUCACACUAAUCAAGUCUAGAAAAAUAACCAAGUUGGUUAAUAUGAACAUUUUUGGACUUAAAACCCAUUUUUGGGCUCAAAAUGCUAAAAUACAAAACUAAGGGCCCAAAACGACAAAAUAUAGAUUCUGAAGGUUGAGAUGAGACUAAACAAUUUCUAAUAUGUUUUUUCUGAAUAUUAACACUUUUGAAGGGUUAAAAAUGUGAAAUUUAAACAUAAUGGGCC
rnacentral:lncRNA from 1 species